rnacentral:tRNA from 1 species
UCCCUGGCAGUCCAGCAGUUAGGAGUCUGCAUUUCCAUUGCAGGGGGCACAGGUUCGAUCCCUGGUCAGGGAA